rnacentral:rRNA from 1 species
UACGGGGGGGGCAAGCGUUGUUCGGAAUUACGUGGCGUAAAGGGCGCGUAGGCGGCCUGCUAAGUCGGACGUGAAAUCCCCCGGCUCAACCGGGGAACUGCGUCCGAUACUGGUGGGCUCGAAUCCGGGAGAGGGAUGUGGAAUUCCAGGUGUCAGCGGUGAAAUGACGUAGAUAUCGUGGAGGAACACCGGUGGCGAAAGGCGGCAUCCUGGGACCGGGCAUUGACGCUGAGGCGCGAAAAGCCAGGGGAGGCAAACGGG